rnacentral:tRNA from 1 species
GCUAAGGUAGCCAAGUUGGUUAAGGCGAAGGAUUGCUAAUCCUUUUCCCGUUAGGGAGCGUGAGUUCAAAUCUCACCCUUAGCGCCA